rnacentral:tRNA from 1 species
UGGCUCAGUGGUAGAGCACUUGCCUUGCAUGCAUGAGACCCUGGGUUUGAUUCCUCAG